AGGAGAUUCACGGCUACCAGCGGCUGGGGAUGAGGGAGUGACUGUUCAUGGGCAUGAGGGGAUUUUGGGGAAGUGACAGUGUUCUGGAACUAGAUAGCGGUGGUGUUUGCGUGGCAUCGUGAAGGUACCUAACGUCAGCGAACAGAAUACUUUAAAAUGGAUUUUGCAGGAAGUGGAAGAGGCGUGUAGAAGGUGCCAGAGGACAGACAGGAAGCCAAGAGAGGCAUGGAGAGCAGGUGCAGCAGAGAGAGCACUGUUUGCUUAGAGAUGAUUUCAUAGAGCGCUGGAUGGAAAGAAAUCUGUCCUCAGUUGCUGGGGUGGCCUCUUGACACCCCCGCUCUUCGCAACAGCCUGGAGAAGACCCCACCCCGUCUCAGCAAAUAUGAGGCGUGUCUAUCCUGCCACUCUCCACCCCAGGAGCAGGCAUUGACCUAGAUGUCUUCCCCUGCCUUCAUUGGGAGGGUGCUGAGCCACGGGUUCCACCUCUGCCAAAGGCACACCUAGGAGACUCCUCAUGUCCAGCUGAGAAGAGGGGGACACCUCCUGUCUGAGACUGCAGCUCACACUGCUGCAUGCUUCCUGGACACCAUCUCUCUGACCUUGGUCGCAUCUGCCUAGCCUGCAGCUACGUUCUCUGACCUCCAGCUCUUCCUCUUUCUCCCCUCGGUAAUACCAAAGUCUCAAGAACACAGCCCUCACUUCUAGACAGAAAGGCCUCACCAGGACCCACCUGUGUGGCCCAGGUGUGACCUCAUGUACAAACACAUCUCCCAAAAUCACCAUCUCGUCAUCAUGGAUCCUAGUACUAUCCAUGAGUUAACUCUCAUUUCUGUGUUAAUCGGGGGUGCAGCACAUUUUGGUGCAGAUUCAUUGUGGCUUUGGGGUGCCAUUUGGGACUCUCCCCCAUGCACAAUGUGUGCCUAUCUCAUCAAAUUAAAUUAGGCUUGUUUUGGCCUGGCCAGUGUCCAUUCCUUCUUUUCCGGAUAAUAGCAUCUCAGUUUUCCAU
rnacentral:lncRNA from 1 species